GGAGCAAAAAGGCUCUGCGGAGUCGUAUUGAGAGUACCCGAAGAAAAAGCAUCGGCUAACUCCGUGCCAGCAGCCGCGGUAAUACGGAGGAUGCGAGCGUUAUCCGGAUUUAUUGGGUUUAAAGGGUGCGCAGGCGGCGUGUCAAGCAAGCGGUAAAAUAGCGGGGCUCAACCCCGUCGAGCCGUUUGAACUGGCGCGCUUGAGUUCAGGCGAGGUAGGCGGAAUUCGUGGUGUAGCGGUGAAAUGCAUAGAUAUCACGAAGAACUCCGAUUGCGAAGGCAGCUUACCAGUCUGCGACUGACGCUCAGGCACGAAAGUGUGGGUAUCGAACAGGAUUAGAUACCCUGGUAGUCCACACAGUAAACGAUGAGCGCUAGGUGUCCGGGUCGCAUGAGACUUGG
rnacentral:rRNA from 1 species